UCUAACAGUAUCGUGACUUGAAUGAAGCUGCAUCAGAUUUGUCUAGAAGGCUUGAAAAAACAGAUUUCUGGGUCCCGAUCCUCAGAGUUUCUAAUUCAGUACAUCUGAGGUAGGAUCUGAAAUUUUGUAUUUCUUCCAUGUUCCCAGGUGACGCUGCUGGUCUGGGCAGCAUACUUUGGAAAUUACUGAUCCAGCCACAUCCUCGAUUGUUCUGUGGACCAGCAGCAUCAACAUCACCUGGAAUCUAGUGAGAAAUGCAGGUGCUCUGACCCAUACCAGACCUACUGAAUCAGAAUCUGCAUGAAAAAGAGCCUCAGGAUGGCUACUAGAGACUUUAAAAUGACAUAAGCUACUCCCAUUAUGUUUCUGUUGGACAGUGCUAGACAAGGGAUUAAAUAACAAUGGAGAUGCAACUGGAGAAGUUGAUUGGGUCCAUAGCUUGGAAGGCCUUGAAGAACAUUUACGAAUCACCCUGAGUGUGCAAAAUUUUGCCCACAGCUAUAAAAAUAUACAGUGUCUUCACUCAAGUGUUUCUCCACCUUCCGAUGAGGCUUCAGCAGAAUCCGAGCUAUCCUCCUGGAAUCCAACCAGCAAGCUGUUAUCAGAAUUCUCCAGCCACUCCUGGAUACCAUUGCCAACAUGCUGGAAAGAAUUGUGCAGGGGAAAUGCCAAGCCUUGCUGAAUCAAGCAACUUCUUCAACCCAAAGUUGACUGGAAAGAAGAGGUGUUGUUAUACACAGAUACCCUGGAACAGUGAUUGGUGGCUGUCUCUUCUGUCCCAGUAUGCUUAGAGGAGUCAGUUCAUUUCUGUUAAGGUGACAUGUGGAGCAGUCAUUGUGAAUCAUCUAAGGAACACAGGGAGACUUGAGCUAAUGGUGAAGCAUAUCUGCCAAAUGCUGGAAAGAGGAUAAGCAGCUUUCAAGAACCGGUGACCUGCAACACUGGGCAGAGUGGUCACUGGUCUCCAAGGACCAAGCCUCCUGGGUCUGGCUGGCAGCUGUGAUUCAAGGGAGGUCAAGCCCCAAUAUGUGCUGUUUGCUGCCUGAUGCACUUCGCAGAGGCACAUCAGAGAAGCUAAGCCUGAUGGACUCCAAACUCUGUUUGGUCCAUGAACCAUCCACUUGGAAUCACCAGUAGUGCUUUCUGCAAAGUUGUUCUGAAACUUUGGGGUAAAGGAAAUAAAAUCAGAGAACAUUUCUCCCUCAGUACCUAAUGAAAUGAACAAAAAUAUUGUUUUUCAAAAGGCCAAAAAUUCA